rnacentral:lncRNA from 1 species
CAAAUUAAUAAUAAAUGAGAGAUAACAUCGCUGUUUCUUUUUGGAACAGGAAAAAUAAUCUAUCAAUUGACCUAAUCCUUUAAAGCCAAGAUUCCACUUUCACUUGCUUCACUAAGAGGUCACUUAUCCAGAACGAGCUUUGAGUCCCCAUCUUGUGAUAAGGCCUAAGGCCAAUUGCUACGCCCAAGCGUGCCUGGUGGCUGCACCACCUCCACUUUGGUAAGCCGUGUGGUCCUUAGGCAGUGUCGCGCCAAUCGUUGUUGUUGCUGUUACCGUUGUUGUUACAUAGCCAUCCAUUGCUACAAACACAUGUUGUUCUUCUACGCCACUCCCCCUAUCCCACCAACAUAAUCAGUUGCCUUGUUUUUGGAGGAUACUGAUCGAUCCUUCACAGUAUAUGUUGAAUGCGGAAGACCACCAUUGGGCAGAGAUGAUAGAAUGAGUGAAAUGAGUUACCUCAGUUGGUUGCUCCCAGGACUGUCAUUUAUAUAGUCAUAGAAUUGUCUUUCUUGAAGUUGAAUGUAGA